rnacentral:rRNA from 1 species
AUGAUGGGCUGGUGGUGGAUCGCGGCGGCGGCGGCGGCGGCGCUGGCGUACGUGGCGGCCAAGCUGAUGGAGGUGCUGUGGUGGCGGCCGCGGCGCGUGGAGGAGCACUUCGCGCGGCAGGGGAUCAGGGGCCCGCCCUACCGCUUCUUCAUCGGGUGCGUCCGGGAGAUGGUGGCGCUCAUGGUGGCCGCCUCCGCCAAGCCAAUGCCGCCACCCUACCGCUCCCACAACGUCCUCCCCCGCGUCCUCGCCUUCUACCACCACUGGAAGAAAAUCUACGGCUCCACGUUCCUCAUAUGGUUCGGCCCGACGCCGCGGCUCGCCGUCGCCGACCCCGACCUCAUCCGGGAGAUCCUCCUCUCGCGCGCCGAGCACUUCGACCGCUACGAGUCGCACCCCAUGGUGCGGCAGCUCGAGGGGGAGGGGCUCGUCAGCCUGCGCGGCGAGAAGUGGGCGCACCACCGCAGGGUGCUCGCGCCCACCUUCCACAUGGAGAACCUCAAGAUGCUGCUGCCGUUCAUCGGGAAGACGGUGGUGGACAUGGCGGAGAAGUGGGUCACCAUGGCCGACCCCGCGUCCGGCGAGGUCGAGAUCGACGUGUCCGAGUGGUUCCAGAUCGUGACAGAGGACGCCAUCACGCGCACGGCCUUCGGCCGGAGCUACGAGGACGGCAAGGCAGUCUUCAAGCUGCAGACGCAGCUCAUGGCCUUCGCCUCCGAGGCAUUCCGCAAGGUCUUCAUCCCUGGAUACAGGUUCUUGCCGACCAAGAAGAACACGAGCUCGUGGAAACUGGACAAGGAGAUCAGGAAGAACCUGGUGACGCUCAUCGGCCGGCGGCAGGAGGCUACCGACGACGAGAGGCUCCAAGGGUGCGCCAAGGACCUCCUCGGCCUCAUGAUCAACGCCAGCAGCAACGGCGGCAGGAGAGGGCAGCCGGUCAGCCCCAUCACCGUGAACGACAUCGUGGAGGAGUGCAAGACGUUCUUCUUCGCCGGCAAGCAGACGACGUCCAACCUCCUGACAUGGACCACCGUGGUGCUCGCCAUGCACCCGGAGUGGCAGGAGCGUGCCCGGCAUGAGGUCCUCGAAGUCUGCGGCGCGCACGACAUCCCCUGCCGCGAGCAGCUCGCCAAGCUCAAGACUCUCGGCAUGAUCCUGAACGAGACGCUGCGGCUGUACCCUCCGGCGGUGGCGACGGUGCGGCGGGCCAAGUCCGACGUGGUGCUCGGCGGCUAUCACAUCCCACGCGACACAGAGCUGCUGAUCCCCAUCAUGGCCGUGCACCACGACGCGCGGCUGUGGGGGCCGGACGCGACCCAGUUCAACCCGGCGCGGUUCGCGGACGGCGUGGCGCGGGCGGCCAAGCACCCGACGGCCUUCAUACCCUUCGGGCUGGGCGCGCGGAUGUGCAUCGGCCAGAACCUGGCGCUCCUGGAGGCCAAGCUCACGGUGGCCAUCAUCCUCCAGCGGUUCGAGUUCCGGCUGUCGCCCAAGUACGUCCACGCGCCGACGGUCCUGAUGCUCCUCCACCCGCAGUACGGCGCGCCCGUGAUCUUCCGAUCCCGCCCAUCAUCCCAGACGCCAGAUCAUCGCCUGUGA